rnacentral:rRNA from 1 species
AUUGAACGCUGGCGGCAUGCCUUACACAUGCAAGUCGAACGGCAUCGCGGGAAAGCUUGCUUUCCUGGCGGCGAGUGGCGAACGGGUGAGUAACACAUCGGAACGUACCGGCUAGUGGGGGAUAACCCGUCGAAAGACGGGCUAAUACCGCAUACGCUCUUCGGUGGAAAGCAGGGGACCUUUGGGCCUUGCGCUAGCCGAGCGGCCGAUGUCCGAUUAGCUAGUUGGUGGGGUAAAGGCCUACCAAGGCGACGAUCGGUAGCGGGUCUGAGAGGACGAUCCGCCACACUGGGACUGAGACACGGCCCAGACUCCUACGGGAGGCAGCAGUGGGGAAUCUUGGACAAUGGGGGCAACCCUGAUCCAGCAAUGCCGCGUGGGUGAAGAAGGCCUUCGGGUUGUAAAGCCCUUUCGGCAGGGAAGAAAUCGGCGGGGCGAAUAACCCUGCUGGAUGACGGUACCUGCAGAAGAAGCACCGGCUAACUACGUG